AUUGAACGCUAGCGGCAGGCUUAACACAUGCAAGUCGAACGAGCGGCGGACGGGUGAGUAAUGUAUGGGAAUGUGCCUGAUGGAGGGGGAUAACUACUGGAAAGGGUAGCUAAUACCGCAUACCAUCAGAUGGGCCCAUAUGGGAUUAGCUUGUAGGUGAGGUAAAGGCUCACCAAGGCGACGAUCCGUAGCUGGUCUGAGAGGAUGAACAGCCACACUGGUACUGAGACACGGCCCAGACUCCUACGGGAGGCAGCAGUGGGGAAUUUUGGACAAUGGGGGAAACCCUGAUCCAGCCAUCCCGCGUGUAUGAUGAAGGCCUUCGGGUUGUAAAGUACUUUUGGCAGAGAAGCGGUAUCUGCAGAAUAAGCACCGGCUAACUACGUGCCAGCAGCCGCGGUAAUUC
rnacentral:rRNA from 1 species